UAGCCACUCGGCUCAGCUCACAGUUUCCUGCUUUUUUCUGUACCUUCUUCCUUCUAGAUUUUUUCUAUUGUAAUUUUCCCCCAUUUUUUGAGACGCGGUUUGCAGAAGCCCGACCUCACGCUGGAAUAACGUGUGUCAUUCUGGAGGAAGCUGGAGAAAAAUAGGACGGAGAAGAUGGUGGGACAUAAUGUAACCACCUAUCUUGCAUUCCUGUCACCAUGAAGCAGCUGGUGUCACACGUUCUCCAGCCACAGCGGACUGUAUCCCCUCAAGCUACAGGCAGAUGAAAUCAGGAUCCAAUGGUGAGGACCAUAUCCCGUUGCCAUGGAGAUGAUUGUGCUGUCACAAAUUUAGUGUGGCUUCAAAGCGAAGAGAAACAGAUGGUCUGGAAAAGAUUGAAGGGCUGUGGUUAGCACAGGCAAUGGCAGGAUCAGCCAUUUCAGGUGCAUUUUGGAAGAAGAUAGAGGCAUAAAUGACAAGCCAAGGGCCUUUAUGAAAGCCAUUGAGCAAGAAAGAACUCAUCCAGAUAAAACUCCAAAGCAUCUUCCGUGAGAGGGAAACCUUGGAUACCUUUAAACCUAGAGUGGAGUGCAGGCAAGAAAGCAAACAGUGGGGACACCCACAGCUGACUCUCAAGAUCACCCAGGCCCCGGCUGCCCUGACAACCACUACUGAAGUCAGAGGUUCAGAUUGGGACAUUGACAUUGUGCUAAUUGUCAGCCUGGAAUCUUUCUAUCAUCAUACUGUUCAUUUAAAGAGCGAAUAAAUCCUUGAAGUCUAUUACUGUGAUACGAAUGU
rnacentral:lncRNA from 1 species